GAUUGAACGCUGGCGGCAGGCCUAACACAUGCAAGUCGRGCGGUAGCACAAGGGAGCUUGCUCCCCGGGUGACGAGCGGCGGACGGGUGAGUAAUGUCUGGGAAACUGCCUGAUGGAGGGGGAUAACUACUGGAAACGGUAGCUAAUACCGCAUAACGUCUACGGACCAAAGCGGGGGACUUUCGGGCCUCGCGCCAUCAGAUGUGCCCAGAUGGGAUUAGCUAGUAGGUGGGGUAAUGGCUCACCUAGGCGACGAUCCCUAGCUGGUCUGAGAGGAUGACCAGCCACACUGGAACUGAGACACGGUCCAGACUCCUACGGGAGGCAGCAGUGGGGAAUAUUGCACAAUGGGCGCAAGCCUGAUGCAGCCAUGCCGCGUGUGUGAAGAAGGCCUUCGGGUUGUAAAGCACUUUCAGCGAGGAGGAAGGGUMCAGGUUUAAUACACCUGUUCAUUGACGUUACUCGCAGAAGAAGCACCGGCUAACUCC
rnacentral:rRNA from 2 species